GGGAGGAGAGGAAUUGGCUGUGUGUGGAGAGAGAGAGGCGAGACGACACACAGAGGAGGAGGCAGAGGCAUAUGGUAGUGCCUACGGAGCCGGGAAACCUCUUCCCGUCACCCUCACCGCACCAGCAGACGCACACACACACAGACACACACACAGACACACACACACAACAGGCAGCCGUAGUUAGGGGGGCAGUGGUAGGGAUUUCGACGCGCUCCGGAUGGAAUAACUCUCGACUCUUCCUCCCACGGCGGCAGCAGGCGAGCGCAGGGCUCAGGUGUGUCCAAGGCGAGGAGGUGACGAGGAGGUCACGAGGAGGUGACGAGAGAUCAUUGCGGACGACCGCUAAACAUGUUCUCAGCCGCGAGCGUCGCUCCGGACGGGCGUCGUGGAGGCCGCUCCACCCCGGCCUCGCCCGUCGACGUGAAGCCCUCCGCCCGGCUCGCCUCGCCCCCCCCCGCCCUGCACGCGCCGCCCCCCCCCGGCCGCGGCCCCCCAC